rnacentral:rRNA from 1 species
UACGAAGGGGCUAGCGUUGCUCGGAAUCACUGGGCGUAAAGCGCACGUAGGCGGUACUCUUAAGUCAGGGGUGAAAUCCUGGAAGCUCCGAACUCCCAGAACGUGCCUUUGGAUUACUGGGAGUCUCGAGUUCGGGAGAGGUGAGUGGAACUGCGGAGGUAGUAGAGGUGAAAUUCGUAGAUAUUACGCAAGAACACCGAUGGGCGAA